GAUGAACGCUGGCGGCGUGCCUAAUACAUGCAAGUCGAGCGAACGGACGAGAAGCUUGCUUCUCUGAUGUUAGCGGCGGACGGGCGAGUAACACGUGGAUAACCUACCUAUAAGACUGGGAUAACUUCGGGAAACCGUAGCUAAUACCGGAUAAUAUUUUGAACCGCAUGGUUCAAAAGUGAAAGACGGUCUUGCUGUCACUUAUAGAUGGAUCCGCGCUGCAUUAGCUAGUUGGUAAGGUAACGGCUUACCAAGGCAACGAUGCAUAGCCGACCUGAGAGGGUGAUCGGCCACACUGGAACUGAGACACGAUCCAGACUCCUACGGGAGGCAGCAGUAGGGAAUCCUCCGCAAUGGGCGAAAGCCUGACGGAGCAACGCCGCGUGAGUGAUGAAGGUCUUCGGAUCGUAAAACUCUGUUAUUAGGGAAGAACAUAUGUGUAAGUAACUGUGCACAUCUUGACGGUACCUAAUCAGAAAGCCACGGCUAACUACGUG
rnacentral:rRNA from 1 species